rnacentral:rRNA from 1 species
GAUGAACGCUGGCGGCGUGCCUAAUACAUGCAAGUCGAGCGAACAGAUGAGGAGCUUGCUCCUCUGACGUUAGCGGCGGACGGGUGAGUAACACGUGGAUAACCUACCUAUAAGACUGGGAUAACUUCGGGAAACCGGAGCUACUACCGGAUAAUAUAUUGAACCGCAUGGUUCAAUAGUGAAAGACGGUUUUGCUGUCACUUAUAGAUGGAUCCGCGCCGCAUUAGCUAGUUGGUAAGGUAACGGCUUACCAAGGCAACGAUGCGUAGCCGACCUGAGAGGAUGAUCGGCCACACUGGAACUGAGACACGGUCCAGACUCCUACGGGAGGCAGCAGUAGGGAAUCUUCGGCAAUGGGCGAAAGCCUGACGGAGCAACGCCGCGUGAGUGAUGAAGGUCUUCGGAUCGUAAAACUCUGUUAUUAGGGAAGAACAAAUGUGUAAGUAACUAUGCACGUCUUGACGGUACCUAAUCAGAAAGCCACGGCUAACUACGUG